GACGUAGGGCGCGAGCGUUGUCCGGAUUUAUUGGGCGUAAAGAGCUCGUAGGCGGCUCGUUGCGUCGGCUGUGAAAACCCGCAGCUCAACUGUGGGCUUGCAGCUGAUACGGGCGGGCUUGGAUUCGGUAGGGGAGACUGGAAUUCCGGGUGUAGCGGUGAAAUGCGCAGAUAUCAGGAGGAACACCGGUGGCGAAGGCGGGUCUCUGGGCCGAUAUCGACGCUGAGGAGCGAAAGCGUGGGGAGCGAACAGG
rnacentral:rRNA from 1 species